UACGAAGGGGACUAGCGUUGUUCGGAAUCACUGGGCGUAAAGCGCACGUAGGCGGAUUUGUAAGUCAGGGGUGAAAUCCCGGGGCUCAACCCCGGAACUGCCUUUGAUACUGCGAAUCUUGAGUCCGAUAGAGGUGGGUGGAAUUCCUAGUGUAGAGGUGAAAUUCGUAGAUAUUAGGAAGAACACCGGUGGCGAAGGCGGCCCACUGGAUCGGUACUGACGCUGAGGUGCGAAAGCGUGGGGAGCAAACAGG
rnacentral:rRNA from 1 species